rnacentral:rRNA from 1 species
GAUGAACGCUGGCGGCGUGCCUAAUACAUGCAAGUCGAGCGAACAGACGAGGAGCUUGCUCCUCUGACGUUAGCGGCGGACGGGUGAGUAACACGUGGAUAACCUACCUAUAAGACUGGGAUAACUUCGGGAAACCGGAGCUAAUACCGGAUAAUAUAUUGAACCGCAUGGUUCAAUAGUGAAAGACGGUUUUGCUGUCACUUAUAGAUGGAUCCGCGCCGCAUUAGCUAGUUGGUAAGGUAACGGGUUACCAAGGCAACGAUGCGUAGCCGACCUGAGAGGGUGAUCGGCCAUACUGGAACUGCGACACGGUCCAGACUCCUACGGGAGGCAGCAGUAGGGAAUCUUCCGCAAUGGGCGAAAGCCUGACGGAGCAACGCCGCGUGAGUGAUGAAGGUCUUCGGAUCGUAAAACUCUGUUAUUAGGGAAGAACAAAUGUGUAAGUAACUAUGCACGUCUUGACGGUACCUAAUCAGAAAGCCACGGCUAACUACGUG